ensembl:lncRNA
AUUUUUUUGUUUGCCAUUGUUUGGCCCUGUAGCUUGCACACCUCACAGCCUACCAUGAUUAACAGAUCACAACCAUUUAAUACCAAUUUCUCUCCCUUAGCACCUGACCAUGAGGCAGGACAGCAACACCCUUCACCACCUCAACUCCCUACACCCGCAUUUAACAUGCAGAGAGUUACACAAGAAAUGGCAGUCCCUCCACAACUCCCUCCACACCAGCCCUCAACAUGCGGCGAACAGAGGAAGCCUGUUCCAGCCUGACAUACAGACCAACAUGGCGAGGGGGAAGAAUGGCCAAUACCAUUCCCUGCUCUGUGGCUGAGGUCCACAUCCUUAGCCUGCUGGAAACCAUUAAACAGCAACAAGACCAGCUUGUGGCAAAGGUGAACUACCUCAGCAGCAGGCUGAACAGCACCCUGAAAAUAUGCCUGAAAAUAUCCAGUUUCCCCUGGAACAAUUGGAGGCAGUGGAGGCAUUUGAAAUGUUUUUAAAGGAACCGUCAAAUGGCCCGGCUCGACAGAGAGUGGACAGUAUAAAAAGCGCACAAGUGGGAGAGAGUGGAGGGGACGGCGUCAGAAAGGACCUAGAGCUGGGACACUUUCAAGGAUCACCUGAAGCAUAACCACACUAUAUGCACGAGGCUGUUGGUUCUAACAUUUUAGGGUCCCCCUCAGUAGAAGUCACAUUCUGCGUUCCCCACAGUAAAAAAAGACACUGACCGGGGGUUCCCCUCAUUAAAAUUCACCCCCCCCCCAACAUUGGGUCUUCAAAAUUGUCCUCACCUUCCCUGCCCUUACAGCGCCCCUGGUUGCUGGUUCCAUUCUCGAACUGUUCGACACAUUUUACACUGCACAAAUGUACACAUCUCUUGUAAUGAGACACAUUACUAAAACAUGUCUUUUACAGAAACUAUAGUUUUCCACCAAAAUAAAAGAUCAGUUGGUUUCA